rnacentral:tRNA from 1 species
GCUCCUGUAGCCCAAUUGGUACGAGGCGACUGAUUCAAAAUCAGUAGGUUGUGAGUUCGAGUCUCACCAGGAGUA